rnacentral:rRNA from 1 species
GACGAACCGUGCGAACGUUGUUCGGAAUCACUGGGCUUAAAGGGCGCGUAGGCGGGGCCACAAGUCUGCGGUGAAAGCCUCCAGCUCAACUGGAGAAGUGCCGUGGAUACUGUGGUCCUCGAGGAGGGUAGGGGCAUCUGGAACGUUGGGUGGAGCGGUGAAAUGCGUUGAUAUCCAACGGAACUCCGGUGGCGAAGGCGAGGUGCUGGACCCUUUCUGACGCUGAGGCGCGAAAGCCAGGGGAGCGAACGGG